UACGAAGGGGGCAAGCGUUGUUCGGAAUUACUGGGCGUAAAGGGCGCGUAGGCGGCCUACGUAGUCAGGCGUGAAAGCCCCGGGCUUAACCUGGGAAUUGCGUUUGAUACUCGUAGGCUGGAGUUCGGGAGAGGAUGGUGGAAUUCCCAGUGUAGAGGUGAAAUUCGUAGAUAUUGGGAAGAACACCGGUGGCGAAGGCGGCCAUCUGGACCGAAACUGACGCUGAGGCGCGAAAGCGUGGGGAGCAAACAGG
rnacentral:rRNA from 1 species